AUUGAACGCUGGCGGCAUGCCUUACACAUGCAAGUCGAACGGCAGCACGGGAGCAAUCCUGGUGGCGAGUGGCGAACGGGUGAGUAAUAUAUCGGAACGUGCCCAGUCGUGGGGAUAACGUAGCGAAAGCUACGCUAAUACCGCAUACGAUCUAUGGAUGAAAGCGGGGGAUCGCAAGACCUCGCGCGAUUGGAGCGGCCGAUAUCAGAUUAGGUAGUUGGUGAGGUAAAGGCUCACCAAGCCGACGAUCUGUAGCUGGUCUGAGAGGACGACCAGCCACACUGGGACUGAGACACGGCCCAGACUCCUACGGGAGGCAGCAGUGGGGAAUUUUGGACAAUGGGCGCAAGCCUGAUCCAGCAAUGCCGCGUGCAGGAUGAAGGCCUCGGUUGGUAACGUUAG
rnacentral:rRNA from 1 species